AAUAACAGGGCGUUUUGCUCAAUACAGUCACAAAAGUGGAACCUUAAAACACAAAAAUGAUAAAAAGAAACCUUCGUUCAAAUACCUCAACGAUAGAAAACCCCGUCCCGGUUCUUGUCAUUCGCUGCUUCUACAUACAGCUUUGCACUCUCUCCCUCGAUCUCUCCCUGUGACAGCGACGUAUAGAAGAAAGCUCAUCACACCCCACCGUUAAUUGCCUAGACUCAAAACCCUCAAACAAAAAAACAGAAAGGGUCAAAUCUCUACUUAUUAUCCCCUUCACCAACGUUCGCCUACGCCGCAAUCCGCGGGACCUAUCCUCUGAUCCGGAAGCCAUUGAAGGACCCAGAAAGGGAAAGUGCAAGAAAAAAAAAGGGAGCAAACCAAAAGCGCAGCACAUCGCCGGCUCUUCUGUUUUAGAAUCAGAAUUGAAAUUGAAGGCCUUUGUGGUGUCAUGAUCACAUGCUCCCGGGCCUACCAUAAGCAACAACAUGAUGAACUCCGCCAACGGCAUGAUGUCAGCGUCGUCUUCAUCGGCCACAACACAAUCGCCUGCCCUUAAGACCUAUUUUAAAACCCCCGAAGGUCGGUACAAGCUCCACUACGAGAAGACCCACCCCUCCGGUCUCCUUCAUUACGCCCAUGGAAAAACCGUCACUCAGGUAACUCUAGCACACCUAAAGGACAAGCAGGCCCCAUCAACUCCACCAGCCCCUCCUUCAAGCUUCAGUGCUACCAGUGGAGUGCGAUCAGCUGCAGCAAGGUUGUUGGGUGGAAGUAAUGGGAGCCGUGCCCUUAGCUUUGUUGGAGGGAAUGGUGGCAGUAAGAGUAUUAGUGGGAAUGGUAGGGUUGGGUCUUUGGGGUCUUCAAGUUCGAGUAAUUCAAUGGCUACUACGAAUUUUGAUGGGAAGGGGACAUACUUGGUCUUCAAUGUGGGGGAUGCUAUCUUUAUAAGUGAUUUGAAUUCUCAAGACAAGGAUCCGAUAAAGUCUAUUCAUUUCAGUAAUUCAAAUCCCGUGUGCCAUGCAUUUGAUCAGGACGCGAGGGAUGGGCAUGAUUUGCUUAUUGGGUUAAAUUCUGGCGAUGUGUACUCUGUGUCACUGAGACAGCAAUUACAGGAUGUUGGAAAGAAGCUUGUUGGGGCUCAGCAUUAUAACAAAGAUGGUUCUGUUAAUAACAGUCGUUGCACUAGUGUUGCAUGGGUACCUGGAGGGGAUGGUUCUUUUGUUGUUGCUCAUGCUGAUGGGAAUUUGUACGUGUAUGAAAAGAGCAAAGAUGGUGCAGGUGAUUCUUCAUUCCCUGUUGUUAGAGAUCAGAUGCAAUUUUCUGUUGCACAUGCUCGUUACAGUAAGAGUAACCCGGUUGCCAGAUGGCAUAUAUGCCAAGGUUCAAUUAAUAGCAUUGCUUUCUCAACUGAUGGUGCCUAUCUGGCAACUGUGGGAAGAGAUGGUUAUCUACGAAUUUUUGAUUACUCAAAAGAACACCUCGUAUGUGGUGGCAAAAGUUAUUAUGGUGCUCUAUUAUGUUGUGCUUGGAGCAUGGAUGGAAAAUAUAUUCUUACGGGAGGCGAAGAUGAUUUAGUUCAAGUUUGGAGCAUGGAAGAUCGGAAAGUUGUAGCAUGGGGCGAGGGGCAUAAUUCGUGGGUCAGUGGAGUGGCUUUUGAUUCAUAUUGGUCGUCUCCAAAUUCAGAAGGCACAGGGGAAACUAUCAUGUACCGGUUUGGUUCUGUUGGUCAGCUUGGUAUGUGUGGCCAGGACACGCAAUUGCUUCUGUGGGAUCUGGAAAUGGAUGAGAUUGUAGUGCCCUUGCGGCGAUGCCCACCUGGCGGGUCCCCUACAUACAGUACUGGAAGCCAGUCAUCCCAUUGGGACAAUGCUUCCCCAGUGGGCACUCUGCAACCUGCUCCAAGCAUGCGAGAUGUUCCAAAGAUCUCCUCGCUUGUUGCUCAUCGUGUUCACAAUGAACCUCUCUCUGGCUUGAUAUUUACCCAGGAAUCUGUUCUUACCGUGUCUCGAGAAGGGCACAUAAAGAUCUGGAUGAGACCAGGGGUGGGAGAAAGCCAGUCAAACAACCCUGAAACCGCCUUGAGUACCAGCAUGAAGGAGAAACCUUUAUUCGCAAACAAGAUUGUCAGUUCCAGUUACAAGCUAUGACCAAACUUUCAUCAGAAGGAAAAACCAAGUUAUUUUUUCUCUUUUCAUAGGGCCAUCGCCUUUUCAUCCAGUUGGUUUUGGUAUGUAAACAAUACAUGACUGGACUGAGAAUAACCAACUGGUUCUAUUGUAUAUUCAGGUAUAAAGAUGAUGACCCCCAAAUGGCACGAAAGAGGUUUGGAGAGACACGAGCCACUUUGAGGCGUGGAGCUUAUGCAGAGAUGUAAAUUGUCCGGCAGGAAGCCAUUAAUAUACUCCUACUCCUUUGGUAUUAAGUUAUAUGUUUCGUAUAGACAUCGAGAUGUGGGAUCCCAGAUCUAACCACAAAAAAAUGCCGACUCUUGUACAUAUUUAUGGUGUUGCUGGCCUUAUAAUAUAUCAAAGUUUACAAACAA